rnacentral:rRNA from 2 species
GCUUACGGCCAUACCAGCCUGUACGCGCGAUGUCGUCCGAUCUCGGAAGCUAAGCAGGGUCGGGCCUGGUUAGUACUUGGAUGGGAGACCGCCUGGGAAUACCAGGUGCUGUAAGCUUUU